UUACGUAUUUGAGUCAGUUUUCAAGUGAUUUAGCAAUCCCUCCUAAUCCCCGGUCUAGAAUGAUCCCUACUUACAUACUUUGCUACAAUUGAUAAAAAGAGGGUUUAAUUUGUGUGCUUAUAUUUUUCCCAUCAACAUGCUUCCUUGUAUCCGUCUCAGUUGCCCUAUGUGUUCCUCAGGCAGAUGUGGUAUCUUCUCUGGAAGCAUAAGAUGUUGAAUAUGAGUACUCGAGAGCAAUGCCAAGUAAGUAAUCAGGCAAGGGGUUCUAGGCACUCAGUUCCUGACUGAAAGCUUGAUUCCAAGUGCUGACUGAUUGCUCUAUCUUGCAGAUAAGAACAAGGCCAAAGGAAAAGACAGGGAAAAAGCAUGAUAUAGGAU
rnacentral:lncRNA from 1 species